AUUUGGGCCAGGUGAGGGGGCUAGCGGUCCCCUGUACCCGAAAUCCGCUUCAUGCGGGAACCCACGCUGUCAAAACGUGAAUUGGGCUUGUACCAAAGCCAUUGUUUGGACGACGACCCUUUGUCCUAAAAGGUCGAUGGCAAUUGCCAACCCGCCAGGUUCGGAAGAAAGCAACGGUACCAAUCGUCUUCGAUGCUUUUAGACCGCAGAGGCGAGGAAAAACAAUGGACUAAACUUUGGGACAAAACCAGUGCGCUAUUUGGCAGCGGCCCACUU
rnacentral:SRP_RNA from 1 species